rnacentral:rRNA from 1 species
UACGUAGGGGGCAAGCGUUGUCCGGAAUAACUGGGCGUAAAGGGCGCGUAGGCGGCUUUUUAAGUCUGGAGUGAAAGUCCCGCUUUUAAGGUGGGAAUUGCUUUGGAAACUGGAGAGCUUGAGUGCAGAAGAGGUAAGUGGAAUUCCCAGUGUAGCGGUGAAAUGCGUAGAGAUUGGGAGGAACACCAGUGGCGAAGGCGACUUACUGGGCUGUAACUGACGCUGAGGCGCGAAAGCGUGGGUAGCAAACAGG